AGGUGCACGGGUACGGGGAAUCAGGGUUCGAUUCCGGAGAGGGAGCCUGAGAAACGGCUACCACAUCCAAGGAAGGCAACAGGCGCGCAAAUUACCCAAUCUAGACAGUAGGAGGUGGUGAAGAGAAUUACUAGGUGGUGGCUCUUUGAGCUACCAGUUUGGAAUGAACGUAACUUAAGAAAUUCGAUGAGAAACAACUGGAGGGCAAGUCCUGGUGCCAGCAGCCGCGGUAAUUCCAGCUCCAGUAGUUUGCUUUAAAGUUGUUGCGUUUAAAACGCUCGUAGUUGGAUCACGCAGCAGUGUCCAGUAAUCUGUUGCCAGAUUUCGACCGAUUGAACUGUUUAACGACUUUCUCUCGGAAGCUGUCAGCAAUAGGUGUUAACGCUGGACAUUGCUAGUUGCACGUGAGAUGGAUUGUUGGCCUUAAAUGUGCCGGUAUUCACGUCUUGCGGAGUGUGCCUUGAAUAAAACAGAGUGCUUAAAGCAGGUAUUUGCCUGAAUGUUAUAGCAUGGAACGAACAAUCGUGUAUAUGUGCAUGUCUCUAAACGAUAGCAAGCCCCAGGCCUGUUGUUGUUUAGGACGUGUACGGCACCCACCAAAAUAUGGCUGUUGGUUCCAUAUACGGUGAUGAUUAAAAGGAGCGGUUGGGGGCAUCGGUAUUUGGCCGCGAGAGGUGAAAUUCUUAGACCGGCCAAGGACUAACAAAUGCAAAGGCACUUGUCUAGACCGUAUCCAUUAAUCAAGAACGAAAGUGGGAGGUUCGAAGACGAUCAGAUACCGUCCUAGUUCCCACUGUAAACUAUGCCGACCUGGGAUCAGUCUAGAGAU
rnacentral:rRNA from 1 species